rnacentral:rRNA from 1 species
GCUUACGGCCAUACCAACCUGGCUUAUGCCAGAUCUCGUCUGAUCUCGGAAGCUAAGCAGGUUUGGGCCUGGUUAGUACUUGGAUGGGAGACCGCCUGGGAAUACCAGGUGCUGUAAGCU